CAAUAGCGUAUAUUAACGUUGUUGCAGUUAAAAAGCUCGUAGUUGGAUUUCAGAACUACUGGACCUGCCGCCUACGGUGUGCGGGUUCGAGUUGUUCUUCUUGUUGAUUAAGCCUCCUGCGCCUCACGGCGUGGGUUGUGGAGUCAGCACGUUUACUUUGAAGAAAUUAGAGUGUUCAAAGCAAGCUAUCGCUUGAAUACAUUAGCAUGGAAUAAUGGAAUAGGACUUCCGUCCUAUUUCGUUGGUUUCCGGGAGGGAAGUAAUGAUCAAUAGGGGUGGUUGGGGGCAUUCGUAUUCAACUGUCAGAGGUGAAAUUCUUGGAUUAGUUGAAGACGAACUACUGCGAAAGCAUUUGCCAAGCACUCGCCCGCUGA
rnacentral:rRNA from 1 species